AACGGGUUAUUUUUAGUCUUCUAAACUAAUUUUGGGUUUUCCGCCUGUUU
rnacentral:tRNA from 1 species